UACUGCUGCCAGAGCUGAGUUAGACAUUAACGGAAGCGGUUGGUGAACACUAGAGCUAGUGAAAAGAAGAGUUCGUUUGAUUUGUUUCAGCCCCAGGACCGAGGCGUUCAAGUGGCGUGACUGGCGUGCCCUGUCUGCAAUCCUCCCUUUCAGUAAGCCCCAGGACCGAGGCGUUCAGGUGGCGUGAAUUCGGCGUGCCCUGUCUGCAAUCCUGCAUUUCAGUAAGCCCCAGGACCGAAGCGUUGAGGUGGCGUGACUGGCGUGAAUUCGGCGUGCCCUGUCUGCAAUCCUGCCUUUCAGUAAGGGGCAGUAAGGACAAGAUCCACCCACCACCCAGUGCAUGCGUGCAUAUGUGUGUGUAAUAAAUUGAGAGGGAAAGUGUGUGUGAUAAAUGAAAUUUAAUAAAGUAAGUAAAAUUUUGAA